rnacentral:misc_RNA from 1 species
UCUCCGUAGGUGAACCUGCGGAGGGAUCAUUACCGAGUGAGGGUUUCGGCCCGACCUCCAACCCUUUGUGAAUCAAACCUGUUGCUUCGGGGGCGACCCUGCCGUUCGCGGCGCGGCGCCCCCGGAGGCUCAUCAAACACUGCAUCUUUGCGUCGGAGUCUUAAUGAAUUUAAACAAAACUUUUAACAACGGAUCUCUUGGUUCUGGCAUCGAUGAAGAACGCAGC